UACGGGGGGAGCAAGCGUUGUUCGGAUUUACUGGGCGUAAAGGGCGCGUAGGCGGUCGUGACAAGUCACUUGUGAAAUCUCCGGGCUUAACUCGGAACGGUCAAGUGAUACUGUCGGACUAGAGUACAGAAGGGGCAACUGGAAUUCCCGGUGUAGUGGUGGAAUGCGUAGAGAGUCGGGAGGAAUACCAGUGGCGAAAGCGGCACCCUGGCGUCGUACUGACGCACAUGUGCGAAAGCGUGGGGAGCGAACGGGG
rnacentral:rRNA from 1 species